GUGAUAUGGUGUAACGGCUAACAUUGCCGCCUAUCAUGAAUGGAUAUCGUGUGCGGCAGCCUGGAGUUCAAUUCUCCGUAUCCG